rnacentral:lncRNA from 1 species
CAUGGCCCAUCAGCACUAAUACACUUCUAUUUUCAUUUUCUUUUUUAAUUCACAUUUAUUUUCUGUUUUGAUUUUAAUUGAUAUAAAAUAUUUUCUUUGUCCAUAAAAUUAUCCAAAAAUAUUUUCCAUUUUUCUUGAUGUCUUAUUUAAUUUUUAUUUUCGUAUUUAUUUAAUGUUAAUAUUUUAUUUUAAUUAUUCAUUCC